rnacentral:rRNA from 1 species
GAUGAACGCUGGCGGCGUGCCUAAUACAUGCAAGUCGAGCGAACGCACGAGAAGCUUGCUCCUCUGACGGUAGCGGCGGACGGGUGAGUAACACGUGGGUAACCUCCCUCUUAGCCUGGGAUAACAUCGGGAAACCGGAGCUAAUACCGAAUAAUACUUUGAACCGCAAGGUUUAAUUGUGAAAGACGGUCUUGCUUCCACGUAUAGAUGGAACCGCGCUGCAUUAGCAAGUUGGUAAGGUAACGGCUUACCAAGGCAACGAUGCAUAGCGGACCGGGGAGGGGGGUCGGCCACCCUGGAACGGAGACACGGUCCAGACUCCUACGGGAGGACGCAGUGGGGAAGCGUCCGAAAUGGGCGAAAGCCUGACGGAGCACCGCCGCGUGAGUGAUGAAGGUCUUCGGAUCGUAAAACUCUGUUGUUGGGGAAGAAGAUAUGUGUAAGUGACUGUGCACAUCUUGACGGUACCUAAUCAGAAAGCCACGGCUAACUACGUG